GUGUUGACAUGUUUUCAGCUACUAACAUUUUCUUUUUCUUCUUUUCUUCCCUUUUGAUAAACAGGAGAAAGAGCAAAUGAGAGGCAGUUGCACUUUUUCAGGUGUCAGGCUGGAGGAAGCCACUUGAAGAUGAAUCUACCUCUGCCUUAGGAUUGCCUGAUGGCCUGUGCCAUUCCAUGUUAUAUCUACUGAUUUGCUCCCUGUAUUCAAAGAUUUUUUUUUUUUACUUAAUUCUCUCUUACUGACCCUGAGAGUGACCAUAUUUUUAACCAAUUUGGUCUUCAGCCUCAAAACUUAGCUCUUUCCUUUUGUGGUCCCCGAAUCCUAUCACGUGUCAUGGUGGCUGUGAAGAUGUUUGCCAAGCCUGCUGAGAAGGCUCAUCUGUGGCAUCCAAAAGCAGAGAUUUCAACUCUGGACCCCUGUGACCUGCCUUUGUAAUUAUGGAUACCCAGCACUGUUUUGAAAUAUCAGUGGACAUCCAGUUUUUAAAAGCCCUCAGAGCUUUGGGAGACACCCCUUUAUCUCUCUGGCAUGUCAGAGAACCGAUUCAACCCUUCUCAUCUCCUCCUCCUUCCCUCUCUUGGGCCAUCAGGAUGCGGCAGCAACUCACUGUGCAUGUUUUUACAGCUCUUCUCCAGUAAUGCUGCCAUUUCCACUGCAGACCACAGGAUAAAAGGACCGCUUCACCGUGGCCCAGGAUACCCUUUUAAGUAGGAGGUAACUAUUCAGUUUCGUAGUGGCCCAUACAUAAACUUGAUUAUGUUCUUCGUUGCUCCAAUAUACUAUUUGUGUGUUUUGUUUUUUCCAGAGGGAGAAGAAAGUACUGCUUUGAUCUAAAAUUAAGCAAACGUUCUUCAAUAAACCCACCAUGAGACUUGACCACUAAUGGUGACCAGCAGUGGCUUUGUCAUGGCCCUGCCCACUGGGGGCAGGCACAUGCCGGGGCCAGGGCAGGCUGCCAGCUGGUGAGCACGAAUAGGUGGCUGGUGGAGCGCAUGCAGUGGGAAGGGCAGAUGGCUCCAUUUUGAUUUGUUAGCAGGCCACUUCCUCGGAAGGGGCUUUCCCUUCAGUGGGGUCUGCACCGCCAGCCUCAGCUGUCUUGGAGCAGAUGUGUAUAGUUAGAGAUGGGGACCUUUUCACUGUAAAUACUGCUCACAUGUUCCUAGGCUGACUUUACUAUGUGCAGAGCCUCUUCUCAAAUAUCCAAAUCCCCUCUGUUGGGUACUACAGAACAGAUGUUACCCUGCCUCCUAUUACAUUAAUUUACGAACUUUACAUAUGCUGAGUUACGGACCCUAAGCUGUUGCAUGUGCUUGGCUCUUAUGUUCCAAAAAGUACAUUUGUAUGGUUUUGUGGAAACUGUGCUGUUCUGCUUUUGCAGUCUGUGAGAUUCUGAUUUUUUUUUUCUCAUCAGCAAUUAUCCUUGUCUUGGAACAUCAGAGCUUGAAGAAAGGGAUUCUAGCAGCCCACCUCUCUCCUUCCUAAUCCAGAUGGUUAGAGGCUUAGAGAGAGGUGGUGGUUGCUCUGAGUUUACCAGAUUCAGUGACAAACCCCUUCUAAUUUCUAAUCAAUCUGGCAGCCUUCAUUUACCAAAAGUUGACUUUUGAUAGUAUAACUUUUAUACACCGUGAGACAACUUAUUUUAAAAAACAGUUUAGAAAUAUUUAAUUUUUUUUUGAAAGACUUUUUAAGGUCAGGCACCAUGGGUCAUGCCUAUCAUCUCAACGCUUUGAGGACUGAAGUGGGAGGAUCAUUUGAGGCCAAGAUUUCAAGAUCAGCUUGGGCAACAUAGUGAGACUCUGUCUCUAAAAAAUUAAAAAAAAAAAUAGCCAGGUGUGGUGGCGCAUGCCUGUAGUCCCAGCUACUUCGGAGGCUGAAGUGGGAGGAUCCAUUGAGCCUAAGAGAUGGCGAUUGAGUAAGCCAUGAUUGCACCACUGCACUCCAGCCUGGACGACAGAG
rnacentral:lncRNA from 10 species